UCCCUUAGUAACGGCGAGUGAAGAGGGAAGAGCCCAGCACCGAAGCCUGCGGCAGAUUUGCUGUUAGGCAAUGUGGUGUGUGGGUCGGCUAGCGGAAUCGUCACUCCACUCGAAGUCCAGCAUUGAGUAUGGUUAUCACUGGAUAUGGCCCAGAGAGGGUGAGAGGCCCGUACGAGUGGAGGUUCAGACAUGUUGGACGGUUCACCAGGUCGACCUCAGAGUCGGGUUGUUUGAGAUUGCAGCCCAAAGUGGGUGGUAAACUCCAUCCAAGGCUAAAUACUGGCACGAGUCCGAUAGCGAACAAGUACCGUGAGGGAAAGUUGAAAAGUACUCUGAAGAGAGAGUAAACAGUACGUGAAACCGCAUGCAGGUAAACGGGUGGCGUCAAGCUGCGAGCCCGGAGGAUUCAGCUGGUCAGAUUGUAGUGUGCGCGCCUGUGGCGUCGAAGGGCCGGAGUAAGAUGUGGUAGUCCACUCCUCUCAUAGGAGUGGGGCGUGGCUGCGACCUCGGUUGUGGCUGUUGCUACGCGUGCCGAGUUGUGUGUCGGAGCGUGCUACUCGUCUGUUGGGCCGUCUGGUCAGUGCACUUUCUCCGUGGUGGACACCACGACCGGUGGUAUUGCCAGUCUACUGUGGUCAAGUCGUGUCUCUCUGAUGGCUUUGUUGUCCCUCGUUGGAUGAUGAUGGCUGUUUGGGGGGACGCGAUCGCAGAUGGGAGGGAUGUACGGCGUGGCGGUGUUUCGGCGCUGUUGCGUGUUAUCGUGCAUUCACCGUCAACGGGGUGUCGGAGUGUGCUGUGAUCGCGCUCCAGGGCACCUCGGCGGGCUAUGGUGGUGAAANGUGACUGUGCAAGGCACCGUGUUCAACCGCCUCAGUCGGUUGGUCGGCCUUCUGGGNCUGUCCGACUGGCUCAUGGUAUCUGGCACGCACAUCACAGGUGCAAGGUACGGGGCGCGCCUCUGUCCGUGCGCGUUGGGCUUGGCUAGCGUGUUGCUCGCGCAAAGUGGGUCCGCUAGUGGUCUGGCGUGUUUGUUAACACAGUGGGCGGAGUUGCGUGUCACCGGGUGCUACAUUUGCUGUGGGUACCGGGGGCGAGAUAGUCAGUGGUGCUGUGGUAGACGAGCUACCCGACCCGUCUUGAAACACGGACCAAGGAGUUUAACAUGUGUGCGAGUCAGAGGGUCCUACGAAACCCCAAGGCGUAGUGAAAGUGAAGUCCGCGUUGCGUACCUAGGCACACUUGCGCGGUGCGUCGCGGCGAGGUGAGAUCCUGCUGUUUGCCUACUCACCGUCAGUCCAACCUGGCUAAUUAGGGGCAGUGGGCGCAUCACCGGCCCGUCCUUUGAUGUGAACAUUGGCAUUGGCGUGGUAGUGUGCGCGUGAGCGCAUAUUAUGGCGUCGGCUAAUGCGCCAUCGGGGCGGAGCAUGAGCACACAUGUUGAGACCCGAAAGAUGGUGAACUAUGCUUGCGUAGGUUGAAGCCAGAGGAAACUCUGGUGGAGGACCGUAGCGAUUCUGACGUGCAAAUCGAUCGUCAAACGCGAGUAUAGGGGCGAAAGACUAAUCGA
rnacentral:rRNA from 1 species